GAGGCUCAAGAACUAGAGGUCAAGACAGAUCCUGUGAUUCGAAGUCUUUAGGCAGUUGCCUUUGGAACAUACAGAGAAGUAAAGCACUCCUCAUAUCAGUUUGUUCCAUUUGGAGGGAGACCACCUAACUGAAGUUAUUUAAAUCCAGAUCAAAGUGUACAGUUUUCCUGUUCUGUAGAAAGUCAUCUGAAAACAUAAUCCUUCUAUGAGACAGAAAACAAUACAAACGCGUUAAUACUGCAAAGCCUUGCGUAUACUUCCAGCUAAAAAUCUGCAUUGUCUGUGGCUGCUUUAGAAGCACCUGGGAUUUGCUAUUUAGUGCCAGAAGCCCUGAAGUAGAGAAGUCCUAGAGAAUUGCAACGGGGCGGGAAGGUUUAAAGAAGACCUUGCUCUACGCAUUAUGACGUUUACAGUCAGUCACGCAUGCCAGUGUGUACCCGUAAUGGAUGCGUGUGUAGGUGAGCAAAGAUUUACACCUCUUCUAGUUAACAAUUCCAUUAUGCGAAGCUUUAGGUGGGUGGUGAUGUUAACAACUUGAUCUGGCCUACGUGCUCACAUAGUACUCUGUGGGAAUGUCCCACAAGGUUAUCUGCAGUUCGGAGACUGAGGAAUAAAAAUAAUAAACUCGUUGAACAUUCCUUAAUAAAA